rnacentral:misc_RNA from 1 species
GAUGAAGAACGUAGCGAAAUGCGAUAAGUAAUGCGAAUUGCAGAAUUCAGUGAGUCAUCGAAUCUUUGAACGCACAUUGCGCCCUGUGGUAUUCCGCAGGGCAUGCCUGUUCGAGCGUCAUUUCAACCCUCAAGCUCUGCUUGGUGUUGGGCCCCGCCCGCUCGCGGCCGGCCCUAAAGACAGUGGCGGCAGCGCCUGGCUCCAAGCGUAGUACAGCUCUCGCUCUGGGGCUAGGCGGUAGCCUGCCAGAACCCCCCUUCUAUGGUUGACCUCGGAUCAGGUAGGGAUACCCGCUGAACUUAAGCAUAUCAAUAAGCGGAAGA